CACAGCUUAAACCGUGACCCGGAGUACGCGGUUAUCAUGCAUUAGUUCUAUCCAUAGUAUAUUAUCUAAGGUUCAAACGAUCAAAUAUCUGAUUAAAUUAUCCGUAAUUAAAAUUCUGUAGCGAUUGGUGAAAUAUAAUCGGCGCAAAUUUAAUUUGUACAAUAAUUAUCAUAGGUAGUACCGACAGCGCGUAAAAAUCUGGAAUGGACAAUUUUUAAAAAUAUAAAUCUUGAAUCCAAUGAUUUAUGAUUAUCGAAAUUUAAACCGUACAACCUGGAAUGUCAGUGUCUGGAAUAUAAAAAUUUUGAAAAAUAAUUUACUUUGUACUUUCCAGAUAUGUAUUUUAAAGAAUUUCCAGUUUUGCACAUUUAAGGUUUGUGCAUUCCAGAUUUUUACGCGCUCCCCUCGGUAAGUUAGAGUAGAUAAAAUACUAAUAAAAGCCGCUAAUACCUUUCUCGGCCUUUUAUAUCAGUCACUGUUUCUAUUUAUCUCACAUCAAUCAGUA